rnacentral:lncRNA from 1 species
GUCUGAUUGAUUUCUUUGUUUACAUUGUAGUAGGAACAGGAAAAUAAACUCCUUUGGGGAAGAAAUCUUUGAAUCCUUCACUUAUUAAAUAUUUGUUGAGCUUAAUUGCCAAACAGAACUAAGUAUGUAGUAGUGAAUGAAAAAGGUCCCUGCACUCACAGAUCUUCCACUUUAACCAUCCAGAGGCUAUAAGGAGCCUGCAAAGAAGACUGCCUUGGGCAGAAAAAGCCUUCUGAAGAGAUAAAAUUUGAGGUAAUCGGUUAGAAAUCAGCCUUGGAAAACAGAGCAGGAAGAGUAGCAAGCUCCAGACCUUACAGAGGAAGAGGAAUGAUUGUCACAGAGGUGAAAUAACAACCUCUGGGGCUUUGGAGGAUGAGGCCAGAGAAUUCUUUAUUAAUCUUUAUAGAAGCAGAGGACUUUGGCAGAAGUUCUGAGUUGAAGGAAGCUCCUUUAAAUCUCAUUGACCUUACAUUUGUUGCCUUCACUAUUCACCAUUACUUCUGCUGAAGUCUUCUAGUGGUAUGGUAACAAGGGGGUGUACCCUCAAAUAAUUUUCCAUGGGUGGAGGUAAAUUCUACCUACAUUCAGUUCUGAAACAAGGCUUAAUACUUGCUUUUGAUGAAAAUCAUUUGAUGAAUUGCACAGACACUAGGGGGUGCUGAGCAUUCAUUCAGACUGGGAUCCACAAUCUCACUGGACUUGCAAGAAGUUUAAGUAAGAUACCCACCAUCAGAC